rnacentral:lncRNA from 8 species
UGUCCCUGUUGUUUGACCUACAGGAUAUGUCUGGUAACUAACCCUGUCCCUGUUGUUUGACCUACAGGAUAGGUCUGGUAACUAACCCUGUCCCUGUUGUUUGACCUACAGGAUAGGUCUGGUAACUAACCCUGUCCCUGUUGUUUGACCUACAGGAUAUGUCUGGUAACUAACCCUGUCCCUGUUGUUUGACCUACAGGAUCCACUGCCACCUGGGAGGGCCUGAUGGGACCCAUGCUGCCAGCCGAGUUUGCCCGGAUGACAUCACUGUCAGCGCCAGGUGUUGCUCUCAUGACUGGAGACUGGAGACCCCACUCAACAUCAGAUAAGCGUUUGGCCAGGAGAAGAGCGUCAUGCGCUGCAACGUUGCUGCUGCAUACAGAGCAGAAGACAACCCAGGAGAAACAUACAGAGGUAGGUGGUCAUGUUAGAGCUCAAACAGCACCCUAUUCCCUAUGUAGUGCACUACUUUUAACCAGAGCACUAUGGGCCCAGGUCAAAAGUAGCGCACUAUAUAGGGAAAUAUUUCAUUUCAUUUGGGACGUACAAUGUUCAUUAACUUACACUGAAGCUGUGGCAUAACUACAUCUACCAAAUCUAGGCCAUAUCCAAGCACAGCAGCUGAAAUCAAGGUUUUAGUCCUAUAUGCCGUAGUGAGACAUGCCAAAUGGAUCCGAUGAAACAGAGGAAGAGUUUUACUUUGAUAAUCCAUGUCAGAUGAUGAGCAGUGGUAUAAAGUACUUUAGUAAAAAUACUUGAAAGUACUACUUAAGUAGUUGUUUUGGGGUAUCUGUAAUUUACUUUACUAUUUAUAUUUUUGACAACUUUCACUUUUACUCCACUACAUUCCUAAAGAAAAUAAAGUAUUUUUUACUCCAUACAUUUUCCCUGACACUCAAAAGUACUCGUUACAUUUUGAAUGCUUAGCAGGACAAGAAAAUGUUUCUAAUUCACGCACUUAUCAAGAGAACAGCCCUGGUCAUCCCUACUGCCUCUGAUCUGGAGGACUCACUAAACAGAGAACAUCCCUGGUCAUCCCUACUGCCUCUGAUCUGGAGGACUCAUUAAACAGAGAACAUCCCUGGUCAUCCCUACUGCCUCUGAUCUGGAGGACUCACUAAACAGAGAACAUCCCUAGUCGUCCCUACAGCCUAUGAUCUGGAGGACUCACUAAACAGAGAACAUCCCUAGUCGUCCCUACAGCCUAUGAUCUGGAGGACUCACUAAACAGAGAACAUCCCUGGUCAUUCCUACUGCCUCUGAUCUGGAGGACUCACUAGACAGAGAACAUCCCUGGUCAUCCCUACAGCCUCUGAUCUGGCAGACUCACUAAACAGAGAACAUCCCUGGUCGUCCCUACUGCCUCUGAUCUGGUGGACUCACUAACCAGAGAACAUCCCUGGUCAUCCCUACUGCCUCUAAUCUGGUGGACUCACUAAACACACAUGCUUCCUUUGUAAAUGAUGUCUGAGUGUUGGAGUGUGCCCCUGGCUAUCUGUAAAUUAAACAAAACAAGAAAAUGGUGCCGUCUGGUUUGCUUAAUAUAAGGAAUUUGAAAUGAUUUAUGCUUUUUUGAUUUUUACUUUUACCUUACCAUACUUAAGUAUAUAUUAGCAAUUACAUUUACUUUUAAGUAUAUUUAAAAACAAAUACGUUUACUCAUGUAGGAUUUUACCGGGUGACUUUCACUUUUACUUGAGUCAUUUUCUAUUAAGGUAUCUAUACUUUUACUCAAGUAUGACAAUUGGGUACUUUUUUCCACCACUGAUAAUGAGAAGUCUCUCGUCACAGCUGAGUAGCUCAUUUGCUUCUGGGUGCUGAGAUAAGAG